UUACAGUCGAAUACAAUAAAAACAAAGUCGACUGAAUUUUCAAAUAUCUUAUGAAAACCAGCUUUGGUGCCAAUUGUUAGGAAACAGGUUGCCUUCAAUUUACACCAAGAGGGGGGGGGGGUGAAUUGGUGUUAGUUCAAAAACAAAAUCUUUUCGCAAUCUUGGUAUGAAAAUUCAAAGCUUUUGAUCUUUCCUUGAAAUGCAAGUAAUGAAAAUUUCAAUGCAGUGGAAAAACAUAGUUGACUGCUCUAAAUAUAAAGUCGAUUGAAAUAAAGAGUGCAGGGAUAGAGAAAAUCAAACACUAGUUUUUAUACUGGUUCGGCCAACAAUGCCUACAUCCAGUGUCCUUCCAACUUUGGAAGCAAAUACACUAUAAUGGUUGCAGUUUUUACAACAAGGAAUUUAUAGAAGCACCACACAAAAAUAUAAAUCUCCUCUCUAACCCAAAACCAAAUAUAGCUGCACACAAAACCAGAAUUGCAGCAAGAAUCCCCUCUUAUGCAAUCUGAACCCACGCUGAACAAUCCUCAAUGUGUCACCAGCAUUUUUCACAAGAUGCCAAGCCUAUCACAACACGCUUCACAGGUUGCCAAGCCUAUCACAACACACUUCGCAGGUUGCCAAGCCUUCAAUCAAAUGCAGCAGUCUUUACAAGAUGCCAAGCCUUCAAGAUCAAUCCAGAAGCACCUUCUUUGUGCAGAUAUUGAUCAAACAGUAUGCACAAUUGACUCCUCGAUCUGAAUCUCUCUCAAGGAAGAUCACCACCGUCUUCUUGGAGAAUUCUUGGAGCUUCCAAAACUAAGAAAUAACUCUGAAAUAGGACAAUGAAAAUAUUAGAACAUAAGUCUCCUUCAGAAUAGAUCGUGCUCUAUUCUAUUUAUAGGUUUCCUUUCAUUCUCAAUCGAAUACCCUACUAAUCCAGUUGACUGUAUUAAAACAGUUAUAACUGACAGUCAACAUAGAGGCUCCUCAGUCAACCAAUUUAAUGCACAUUCAUGACAGUUGACUUAGU
rnacentral:lncRNA from 1 species